UGGGGAAUAUUGCGCAAUGGGCGAAAGCCUGAUCCAGCCAUGCCGCGUGAGUGACGAAGGCCUUAGGGUUGUAAAACUCUUUCGUCGGGGACGAUAAUGACAGUACCCGAAGAAGAAGCUCCGGCUAACUUCGUGCCAGCAGCCGCGGUAAUACGAAGGGAGCUAGCGUUGUUCGGAAUCACUGGGCGUAAAGCGCACGUAGGCGGAUAGUUAAGUCAGGGGUGAAAUCCUGGGGCUCAACCCCAGAACUGCCUUUGAUACUGGCUGUCUCGAGUCCGGAAGAGGUGAGUGGAAUUCCUAGUGUAGAGGUGAAAUUCGUAGAUAUUAGGAAGAACACCAGUGGCGAAGGCGGCUCACUGGUCCGGUACUGACGCUGAGGUGCGAAAGCGUGGGGAGCAAACAGGAUUAGAUACCCCCGUAGUCCCUGAGCGGGCUGGCAAGGCGCAU
rnacentral:rRNA from 1 species